UACGUAGGGUGCGAGCGUUGUCCGGAAUUACUGGGCGUAAAGAGCUCGUAGGUGGUUUGUCGCGUUGUUCGUGAAAUCCCACGGCUUAACUGUGGGCGUGCGGGCGAUACGGGCAGACUGGAGUACUGCAGGGGAGACUGGAAUUCCUGGUGUAGCGGUGAAAUGCGUAGAUAUCUGGAGGAACACCGGUGGCGAAGGCGGCGUUCUGGACUGCAACUGACACUGAGGAACGAAAGCCAGGGGAGCAAACGGG
rnacentral:rRNA from 1 species